AGGGUGUGUUUCUCCACAGCAUUCAGAAAAAACAAUACAGAAACUCAACUCCAAUGUUAGGUUAAGAAUAUUGCAGCUUCCUGUUUGGAUAUUGCAAUCAUUUUUGGCCACCUGCUGUGAAGAGCUGACUCAUUUGAAAAGACCCUGAUGCUGGGAAAGAUUGAAGGCAGGAGGAGAAAGGGGUGACAGAGGGUGAGAUGGUUGGAUGGUAUCACCAUCUCAAUGGACAUGAGUUUGCGUAAACUCCAGGAGUUGGUUAUGGAUAGGGUUAUGCAGCCUGGCGUGCUGCAGUCCAUGGGGUCACAAAGAGUCGGAGAUGACUGAGUGACUGAACUGAAGUCAAGUGCACACAGAUAAGCCAAACUACUUGAAUCAGGAUACAUCAGGAUAUGCAUGGACAGUUCUCAUUCUGCAUUUUCUGCUGGUAGAUUAUGACCAGUAUCCUUUUUGGCAAAAUGGGAGGACUUGGAGAUUCAGAAUUGAGGGAUGCUAUCUUUGCAUCUGAGAACUAAAGCGUGAAGAGGAGAAAGAGGAGAAGACAGAAGACAGAAUCCUUCCUUUGGGUAGUGAGAGCUGAGCCUUCCUUUAUGUGGUGUCUGUGGUCAUUCUUUUCCCUUGCUCUCCAAGUCCAGGCUAAGCAGCAACAGGCAACAUUGACUGUCUUCUCUUCUGAUUUGGAAACAGCAAAAUAAUGUCCACAUAGAUACAAAAGGAUUGUCCAAUAGGAUGUAAGUCAAGAGAGAUGUGACUGAAUGAGAAAACCACAUGUUUGAAAAGUAUAGAAGCUACUGCAUUUACAGAACACAGUGAUUUAAAGGUCUGGGUGGCUAUAGAAACAGUAGAGAAUCAGUAUCAUUCAGUAGAAGCUUUACAAAUGUGAACUCAGAAUUUAAGAUCAAUGAAUAAAAACAACAUAGAUAUCUUCCAGGAGGGGAGGAGUUAGACAAAUGUCAUAUAUUCACUCCACAAAAUACCACUCAGCAAUAAAAAGGAACAGACUAUUGAAGCAUGCAACUUGUAUGAAUCUCCAGGAAUUAUGUUGAGUGAAAAAAAGUUAAUUACCUAAGUCACAUACUUUUUCACAUGAAUCCAUUUAUAUAACAUUUUGAAAUGACAAAACAGUAGAAACGGAGAACAAACUACCAGAAGUUUAAGAGAGGAUGGGGAAGGAAGGGAGGAGGGGUCCUUUUGGAGGUGGAAUGUUGUGUGUCUUGAUUGCAUAGAUGUCAACAUCCUGAUGGCAAUUAUUGUAGGAUGAUUUUUCACAAUGUUACUGUUCAGGAAAACUGGAAAAGGUUACAUGGAAUCUCUCCAUUACAGCUUACAAUUUAAGUGAAUGUAAAUUAUCUUGAAAUUAAAAGUUUAACUAUAAAAAUUUAUAAUAUUAAUGAUAAGAGAAUGAGAAGAAUAAAAUACCAUUAAGUUAGAAUUAGUUG
ensembl:lncRNA